rnacentral:lncRNA from 1 species
GCCAAUGCGAUCACAUAGAAGAAAAUACUAGAUAGCAGAACAACGGUUCAAUCAUAGGAAAAAAUGACUCGCGGCCCAUCCAAAACACACCCAAGGCUCAUGGGACCCCGUCUAAUCAAACAAACAAUUCAUAUAACCUAACACAGACUCGCUCGAGGUUUCAAAUCACAUAAAACAAAACCAAAAUAACGAAUCAAACCAAAAAGCAAACAUACGAAUUUCCAAAUCGUUAAUUAUCAAAUCUCAUGCCGAAACCUAUCAAUUCAACUCGGAAUAACACCAAAUUUUACAAACAAGUCCAAAAUGACAUAACGAAGUAGCCCCAACUCUCGAAAUCGAAUUCCGACCCCUAUAUCAUAAAAGUCAAAUAUGGGUCAAACUUCUGCGUUUUCAAACAUCAACUUUUCCAACUUUCGCCGAAAUGCCUCAAUUUACCCUACAGACCUCCAAAUUCGAAUCCGGACACGCGCAUGAGUUCAAAAUCACCAUACGAAACUGUUGGAAUCAUCAAAAAUUCAUUCUGGGGCCGUUCACUCAAAAGUCCAAUUCCAGUCAAAUUCUCACGUUCAAACUUCCAAAACUGGAUUCCUUCUUCCAAUUUGACUCAGAAUCAUUCAUUAACUAAAUUCAACCAUGCACGUAAGUCGAUACUCAUUUUAUGAAGCUGUUCAACACCGCGCGCCUCCGAACAUCGCUUUAAUUCUUGUAACAACCAGCCGGAUCGUUACAGUAGACACAAUGAUUAUACAUAUUAUAUAAUAAGUAUUCACUAGUUACACGAUAUAUAAAUAAUAGAGCAUUGGCAUUAAUUGAGGACAACCAACUUGGCCAAAAAAAGUUGUUCUUAGGCAAUGGUUAUUUUAUUUCCUCCAUUUCUUAUAUUUUCAUAAAAUUCAUCAAAAAAUGUGUCAUGCAAUAUCAUAUCUGAAAAUGGACAAAAAGCGAAGAAGUCAGCAACCACCAUUAGAAUUUAGCCGAAAAUUAUAUAAAAAAGAUAGUAUUUUUUUAAUCUAAGUGAAGGAGGAGAAAUGAAAAGAAAAGAAAAUAAAAAAUAUUGUGUUGGUGUCGUUAUAGUGGAAGAGAAGAAAAAAAAAGGAAGAAGAUAAGAAGACAGGGAAAAGAUGGAACUCACUCGUAAGGAAAAGAAGAGUAGAGAGAGAGGGGUGGGGUGGGAGGGUGGUUGAAAGAGGAGAGAAAGAAUGAAAUGUAAGGGCUUUGGCUAU